rnacentral:rRNA from 1 species
GACGUAGGGGGCAAGCGUUGUUCGGAAUUAUUGGGCGUAAAGCGCUCGUAGGCGGGAUUGGAAGUCCGUGUUGAAAGACCUCGGCUCAACUGAGGGACCGGCUCGGAUACUCUAAUUCUUGAGGCAAUCAGAGGAUGAUGGAAUUCCCGGUGUAGCGGUGAAAUGCGUAGAUAUCGGGAGGAACAUCAGUGGCGAAGGCGAUCAUCUGGGGUUGUUCUGACGCUGAGGAGCGAAAAGCUAGGGGAGCAAACGGG